rnacentral:rRNA from 1 species
UACGGAGGGUGCAAGCGUUGCUCGGAAUUAUUGGGCGUAAAGGGUGCGUAGGCGGCAUGAUAAGUUAUUGGCGGGAAAUCGAGGCUCAACCUCGUGGAAACUAAUAAUACUGUUUUGCUUGAGUACAGGAGAGGUUAGCGGAACUCCAUGUGGAGCGGUAAAAUGUGUAGAUAUAUGGAAGAACAUCAAUAACGGCGAAGGCAGUUAACUAUUCUGUUACUGACGUUGAGGCACGAAAGCGUGGGGAGCAAAACGG